GGGGCAUUGGUGUAUCGGCAGCACAAGAGUUUGUGGAACUCUCAGAAGGGGUUCAAAUCCCCUAUGCCCCCCA
rnacentral:tRNA from 1 species